rnacentral:rRNA from 1 species
GACGAACGCUGGCGGCGUGCUUAACACAUGCCAGUCGAACGGCAAGGCCCAGCUUGCUGGGUGCUCGAGUGGCGAACGGGUGGGUAACACAUGGGUGAUCUGCCCCUUACUUUGGGAUAAGGGUGGGAAACUGGGUACAAUACCGGAUAGGGCAAUCGUUUAGUGUCGGUUGUGGAAAGUUUUUUCGGUUAGGGGUGAGCCCGUGGCCUAUCAGCUGGUUGGUGGGGUAAUGGGCUAACAAGGCGACGACGGGGAGCCGGUCUGCGAGGGUGGGAAGCCACACUGGCACUAGGAGAGGGCACAGGCUCCGAAGGGAGGCAGCAGUGGGGACUAUUGGACAAUGGGCGCAAGCCUUAUCCAGCCAUGCCGAGUGGGUGAAGAAGGCCUUCGGUGUGUAAAGCCCUUUUGUUGGGAAAGAAAAGCAGCAGGUUAAUACCCAGCUGUUCUGACGGUACCCAAAGAAUAAGCACCGGCUAACUUCGUG